UGGGGAAUAUUGCACAAUGGGCGAAAGCCUGAUGCAGCGACGCCGCGUGAGGGAUGACGGCCUUCGGGUUGUAAACCUCUUUCAGCAGGGACGAAGCGCAAGUGACGGUACCUGCAGAAGAAGCACCGGCUAACUACGUGCCAGCAGCCGCGGUAAUACGUAGGGUGCAAGCGUUGUCCGGAAUUACUGGGCGUAAAGAGUUCGUAGGCGGUUUGUCGCGUCGUUUGUGAAAACCAGCAGCUCAACUGCUGGCUUGCAGGCGAUACGGGCAGACUUGAGUGCUGCAGGGGAGACUGGAAUGCCUGGUGUAGCGGUGAAAUGCGCAGAUAUCAGGAGGAACACCGGUGGCGAAGGCGGGUCUCUGGGCAGUAACUGACGCUGGGGAACGAAAGCGUGGGUAGCGAACAGG
rnacentral:rRNA from 1 species